rnacentral:rRNA from 1 species
AUUGAACGCCGGCGGCAGGCCUAACACAUGCAAGUCGAACGAGUUGCGGACGUGAGAGUAAUGUCUGGGAAACGGCCCGAGGGAGGGGGAUAACUAAUGGAAACUGUAGCUAAUACCGCAUACCAUCGGAUGUGCCCAGAUGGGAAGAGCGAGUAGGUGGGGUAACGGCUAACCUAGGCGACGAACCCUAGUUGGUCUGAGAGGAUGACCAGCCACACUGGAACUGAGACACGGUCCAGACUCCUACGGGAGGCAGCAGUGGGGAAUAUUGGACAAUGGGCGCAAGCCUGAUGCAGCCAUGCCGCGUGUAUGAAGAAGGCCUUCGGGUUGUAAAGCACUUUCAGCGAGGAGGCGUUACCCACAGAAGAAGCACCGGCUAACUCCGUGCCAGCAGCCGCGGUAAUAC